rnacentral:tRNA from 1 species
UGGCGUGUAGCUUAAAGGUAGAGCGUUGGGUGUUCUGUUCAAAAUAUGCAGGUUCGAUUCCUGUCACGCCAA